ensembl:lncRNA
CAGGCUGGUACCCACAUGCUGGGCAGCAUCUCAUAGCCAUUCUGAAUGGCACAUCUCUGUUACUUGCUCACUUGGGACCACAUUCCAUGUAGCAGCUGGCCUAUCCCUGUGUUUGGUCAAAUCUGGUUCUGAGAAUAGCAAAUUGGCUCUCAUUAUUACUGUGUCUGGGGAAUCCCUGAUAGGAGGCGGAAGACAUGGCCCUUUCCGCUUGCCCCCAUGUGAGGCUGGUGGCCCAGCAGCACCCCAGGUGCUCAGGACACACUGGCCAUCCUCGUCCUCCUCCUCGAAGUCUCAGAGCCACAUAGAAUUCCAGCCUAGUGGGGAUGAGUGUGGGAGUCAGGCAGUGCAGGGCUGCACCCGCCUCUGGUGUACUGGCUAUGGGACAGCUUCUCAUCAGCAAACGAAGACGACAGCCACCCUCGCCCAGCGGAGGCAGCAGCCUGGCCCAGGUUUUUGUAUAGAUCACACUCCAGAGGCUGAGGACGAGAGCAGAGUGGACCUGCCUGCACACGCAGACCAUGACCACUGUCCUGCCAGAAGACAGGAGCACGCUCUGUCCCACAAGUCAGCACUAUGUCCCCUCCCACAACGUUCCUUCCUGCAUCCAUGUUCCAGGCUAUUCUAGGCUCUCUUCUCAGAAUGCCUAGGAGUGUCCUGGGACAGAGCUGGGCACGGGGGUCACCACAGUGACAAGGACAGCAGGGAUGGAGUCCACCCCUCAAAUGGCCUUUCUGGUGUGUGGUCUGGAACAGUUUCCCUGAGCCUGGAAAUGGGGUGGCUUUGUUCCGGCUCCUCCCCUCCCCUCCCCCAGCCCACUGGGGACUUGCUGGCAUUGAAGAGAGAAGAGGACCAUGACUGAACCUAAGGAGGGGGGCACUGGCCAUUUGGCCAAGGGACACGUGGACCACAGACAGCAGGUCAUCGAGUCCUGAGUCAAGAAGCCACCUGAGAAGCCACUCCUGGAUGACCAACCGUUGUGCACGUCGACACGCGCCCCCCAUCAGGUGCUUGCUAGUCUUUAAAUCAGCCGGCAGCGUUUCAGCCUCAGGGGCAAAUGACCUUGCAUUUGUUAUAAGUAGUGAGUGUCUCCCUUUAAAUCAAGGACGAGUUCUUUUAAGGCCUUACCUGCAAUUCAUUGUGUAGGUUUUAAUUAUCUUCAGGGCAGGGGGUCCCCACCUCCCUGAAGGACCCAGUGCCUCCCCAAACACACUAAGCUCCCUCUGGACUUCCUUCUUCCUGAAAUGCCUCCACUGAACCCCGCCAACCUGCCUCUCCCAGUCAGCACACCCUGCAGGUUGCAGCCAUGCACAGCUGCCCCUAAUCCCCGAGACUGGGCCACGUGUCCCCUCUGUGUAGCCAAGGCUGAUGCUCCUGUUGCAGGGUCAUCACUUGUGUAGGUUUUAAUUAUCUUCAGCUGGAAAUGAUAGAAACCCAAAGUAACAGUUGCUUAAAGAAGGCAGUUUUGCUUUUUUUUUUCCACACCUGUUUGGAGUCAGGCAGGUCAGGGCUGGUCUGCUCCUUCAUAAUGACCUCAGGAUGAGGUUGAUUAACCUACCACAUAGGUCCUCUUUGUCCAGAGCCACCUUGCUCACGGUGGCCACUUCAGCACCGGCCCUUACAUCUCCAUCCCAGUCAGCAGGAAAGAAGAUCUCUGAGAGGGAAGGGCAGAAAGCCAGGAUCAACUGUGUUGUUGUUUGAAGGAAGGGCCGCCACACUCUGCUUCAUCUGAUUGGCCAGAGUGUAAUCACAUGGCCAUGUCUAGCUGCAAGGGAGGCUGGAAGAUGUAGCUUUCAUUGUGGGUGAACAUGUGCCAGCUGAAAUCAGUUCUAUUACUCUGGCCGGGGGGGCGGGGUGGAUGGGGUGGCAAACGUGGGAGGAGAGCUGCCGCCUUGUCCACACCAUCUCUUUAUUCCUAGUGCUCAGCUUAGAGACAGACUGCUGGAUAUUCUGAGUGGAUAAGUGAUGCUUGAAUGACUGAGUGAGAGUCCAUGGUGGGCAGCAGGACCCGGCCAUGGGCUCCACUCUGCAAGGGGGGGCCCUCAUGGGAUGGCAGGCCCAGGGCAUCCUCAGCUCAGCUGCUCAGCAGCCCCAGGGAGCAUUGUGGUAAAGAGGGUCAGGACGCUUUGAUUUCCAGAUGCCCAGGGCCAGGGGCUGUGAGCAGGCCUGCAGGGGAGGGGCCAUCUCAGCGCCCGAUGGGGCACUUGGUGAGGUUCCUCCUUGCCUCAGCUCCUCUCCCAUCUCAGUGCCACCGUCCUCUCUGACUUCUGGGGUCUGAGCCUGGCACAGAGCUUCAGCAGUUCCACGUCAGAUGCUCCGGACCCACGAGUCCAGUUUAGCCUCCUCCCCCGUGCUGAUAUAUGGUAUCGCUAGCUUGUGGGACUCUCUGGAUGCUUCUGCUGCUGCUGCUGCUAAGUCACUUCAGUUGUGUCUGACUCUGUGCAACCCCAGAGACGGCAGCCCACCAGGCUCCCCCGUCCCUGGGAUUCUCCAGGCAAGAACACUGGAGUGGGUUGCCAUUUCCUUCUCCAAUGCAUGAAAGUGAAAAGUGAAAGUGAAGUCGCUCAGCCGUGUCCGACUCCUAGCGACCCCAUGGACUGCAGCCUAUCAGGCUCCUCCGCCCAUGAGAUUUUCCAGGCAAGAGUACUGGAGUGGGGUGCCAUUGCCUUCUCCCUGGAUGCUUCUAAUGUGCUCCAUCAGCCAGGCCUGACGAAGCUUGAGUUCAAGGGCUUUUCCAGGGUAGACUCCUCCCCUCACCACCCAUCAUCACCAUUGAGAGAAAAGAAGCGCCCGUGCUGCACCAGCUCGGGGAAGGACGGGCGGCCACAGCUGAGGGACCACAUCUGGGCAGACAGCCGUCGAAGAGCGGGUCGAUGCAGAGUCAUCGAAGAAAAUUGCAUCUGAGAACGUCGGGCAAAUCACCGUGAUUCUGUAGGCUGGUUUUCCUUGCAAACCACUGAGGCCUGGCAUGGGCCCAGAUAUAAUAGAAUUGACCAUACUGCCCGCUUAGGAUGCAGGCCUCGCAGCCUCAUAAAGGGCCUGAGAGAUCUGUAAACUGAAGCACCAGCCCCAUCUGCACCCCGUCAUUUGUUUGGCUUGGCAGAGGCGAGAGU